CAACCCCUCAGGGACACCUGGUAGUGAACCCGGUUCAGGUUUUCGAACCUGACCUGGUUCCAAAUUGGCACGCUCCAGCGGUAGGAAAGGUACUCGAGAGAAAAACGUAGUAAGCGAAAGCCAACUGUUUUACCCUCCGGAGACCCGUGACCGCCUGAACAAAAUCUUUCAUUUCAAAG
rnacentral:misc_RNA from 1 species